rnacentral:rRNA from 1 species
CGGAGAUUCAGCAAUGGAUCUUAGUGGCGAACGGGUGAGUAACGCGUAGGCAAUCUGCCUUCUAGAUGGGGACAACAUCCCGAAAGGGGUGCUAAUACCGAAUGUUGUAGUUGGUUCGCAUGGACUAGCUACUAAAGGUGGCCUCUGAAUAUGCUACCGCUAGAAGAUGAGCCUGCGUCUGAUUAGCUAGUUGGAGGGGUAACGGCCCACCAAGGCUUCGAUCAGUAGCCGGUCUGAGAGGAUGAACGGCCACACUGGGACUGAGACACGGCCCAGACUCCUACGGGAGGCAGCAGUGGGGAAUCUUCCGCAAUGGACGAAAGUCUGACGGAGCAACGCCGCGUGAGUGAAGAAGGUUUUCGGA